rnacentral:rRNA from 1 species
GACUUCGGUCUGGUGGCGAGUGGCGAACGGGUGAGUAAUACAUCGGAACGUGCCUAGUAGUGGGGGAUAACUACUCGAAAGAGUAGCUAAUACCGCAUGAGAUCUACGGAUGAAAGCAGGGGACCCUCGGGCCUUGUGCUACUAGAGCGGCUGAUGGCAGAUUAGGUAGUUGGUGGGAUAAAAGCUUACCAAGCCUGUGAUCUGUAGCUGGUCUGAGAGGACGACCAGCCACACUGGGACUGAGACACGGCCCAGACUCCUACGGGAGGCAGCAGUGGGGAAUUUUGGACAAUGGGCGAAAGCCUGAUCCAGCAAUGCCGCGUGCAGGAUGAAGGCCCUCGGGUUGUAAACUGCUUUUGUACGGAACGAAAAGCCUGAGGCUAAUAUCCUCGGGUCAUGAC